CGGAGAGGGCGCAUGAUACCUUGCUACCACAUCCAAGGAAGGCAGCAGGCGCGCAAAUUACCCAAUCCCGACACGGGGAGGUAGUGACAAUAUGUAACAAUAUACGGCUUUAUUGUCGUAUAAUUGGAAUGAGCACAAUUUAAAUCCCUUAACGAGGAACAAUUGGAGGGCAAGUCUGGUGCCAGCAGCCGCGGUAAUUCCAGCUCCAAUAGCGUAUAUUAAAGUUGUUGCAGUUAAAAAGCUCGUAGUUGGACCUUGGGCCUGGACAGGCGGUCCGCCUCACGGCGUGUACUGUCUUGCUGGGCCUUUCCUCUUGGUGAUCUGUGGUUUCGGCCGCAGGGAACCAGGACCUUUACUUUGAAAAAAUUAGAGUGUUCAAAGCAGGCUUUACGCCAGAAUAUAUUAGCAUGGAAUAAUAAAAUAGGACGUGCGGUUCUAUUUUGUUGGUUUUUGGGAUCGCCGUAAUGAUUAAUAGGGACAGUCGGGGGCAUUAGUACUCACAUGCUAGAGGUGAAAUUCUUGGAUUUUGUGAAGACUAACUUCUGCGAAAGCAUUUGCCAAGGAUGUUUUCAUUAAUCAAG
rnacentral:rRNA from 1 species